AAAAAACCUUCGAAAAUAUGUCAGGAAAUCUAAAUGCAGGACCGAGCGAGGUUCGAUCCCGUUCCGCCAGCACCGAAGUUCUCGUCUUGAUCGUGUGAGCUAUCUUCAGUUGGUUUUUCCGGUUUCCGUUCGAUGCGGUAAAGUCAAUGAAGUGAGGAGAACCCGGAACCAACAUUAUGGCCUCCGUUGGCCCGGACGGAUUUUGUUGUCGUACACAAACCAAAUCGGGCUGAAUUCAGCUACACGUUUGGACGCGGAACUUACAAUUUUUGGCAAAAAAGACUCAUAAAACCAUGGCUGUUUCUCUCACUUGACGCUGGAAUUGAUGUUGGGGAUCGAGGAGGUUUUGAGCGGACACGCAGCCGACAGACGCAAAGUUGUGGGACACGUGGACGGCUCUGCGCUACGAUGACUAGGACAACCUGCUUUUGGACAGCUUACAUGUUGGAUGACGAUGGUCUCCUUGUCGCUGCCUGGUGAAGUUGUCAGCCAGUGGGAAGAGAUUGCAGACCUAAGACAAAAUGUCAACUUGUGCUGCAAAUGUUUUUUGACAUGAGGUGAAACUCACCAGUGAUGAAAAGGGUGUGAAGUUUGUUUUCUGGGACUGUCAAGUGCUCGCACAUCUGCAUUGCCAGGACUCUGACCAUGUUCCCCAGCACCUGUGGAAAAACAACAACAAAUUUGGUAGAAGUAAAGACUGGAGUCAAGAGCAAAGAGCUUACCGUUAAAAGCGUCAACUUCAGUGUUGGAUGACAGGUCCACUUCACCAGGCAGUCACUGACGACAGUUUCCUUGUCUCCGGUCAUCGUGAGGAGAGCAUGGACCGGUGUGCCGUGACCCUGGAAAACAAAGACAUCCAUGAAUCAAACCUUUAUACCCAACAUGGUUUUUUUGUAGCAAAUUGUUUGCAAUGAAACUUACAGGGAAAGGAUGUGCAACUUGUUUUUUCUGCGACUGAGACCUCGCAGGAAUCUGAACAUGUUCCUCAGCCUGUGGAAGAACAACAACUUUGGAAGAAGUAAAGACUGGAGUCAAGAGCAAAGAGCUUACCGUUAAAAGCGUCAACUUCAGUGUUGGAUGACAGGUCCACUUCACCAGGCAGUCACUGACGACAGUUUCCUUGUCGCUGUUGAUAGUCACUGGUCAUCGUGAGGAGAGCGUGGACCGGUGUGUCGUGACCCUGGAAAACAAAGACAUCAGUGAAUCAAACCUUUAUAUCCAACAGGUUUUUUGUAGAAAAUUGUUUGCAAUGAAACUUACAACGAAAAGGAUGUGCAACUUGUUUUUUCUGCAACUGAGACCUCACAGGAAGCUGAAGAUGUUCCUCAGCCUGUGGAAGAACAACAACACGUUUUUGGGCAGAGAAAAGUCACGAUUGUGGAGAGCAUUCUGAGGAAGAGGAGCGCACCAGGAUGAGAGGAAGGCCUGGACCGGAAGCCAGCCUGCAUGCAGAGUCAAAACCAAAAAGCAGAUCAAGUCAGACCUUAACGAAGGAGAUUGCUUCAUCAGUCAGUCCAAGGUGCGUGGUGAUGCUGGAGUCAGGUUCUCCAAGACGGGCGACAUUUCUUUGACCAGUUGAAAUUUACUGUGCAAAACAAGCUGAAUUAAAUUUAUCAUGAACAUGCAUACUUUCUCAUUGAGGACCCCUCGUAGCUCUGCAUGACGUCAACAAGAGGCCGUCAAGACUGCACACAAAGCAGGAUGUGAGGAGUGGUUGCUGCAAGUCACCCUCCUUCAGAAGAUUGCCUUGAACACAGAUGUGCAUGCAGUAGGAAAAUAGUCAACUGAGGCCAGAAUUUCUAAAACAAAGACAUCUGUUACGUUUUGCCAUACAGCACAUUUGACAAGAGAUGAAACCCACCAGCAAUGAAGAGGAUGUGACUCGUUUCUCUCUGGGACUUUGUCCAAGCGCUCACAGGAAGCGGAAGGAAGGAAAAACAUUGUGAUGAUUGUUCAGUGUAUUCACAGAGUGGACUGUCAAGUGUGUGUGGACACCAGUGCAAACAUCUCAAACUUGUCCAACUCCUCAGGCUGCUCCACAGUUUGGCUUCAGCAUCUUCUGAUGUGGUCAUCCAGCUGAAUUAAAAUAAGUUGCACUUGAGCCGACUGAAGCCGGAAUGACAGUUUCCUCAUUGCUGAUGACCAUCACCAUCAAGACGAGCGCGUCGACCAAUGUGUCGUGACCUCCCUGAAGAAGCCAAAAAGACAUCGCAGGUGCAGGAUCUUGGGGGGCCAGGGUGCUUCUCCUCCACGAUGGCUCUUGUUCUGGAAGCCGCCCUGCACGCAGAGUCAAAAAAACAGAAACAGCGUGUCAAACCCAGCAGACGUGGCGACAGGCGAGCCUCGUACAUCUUGUUCCUCUCGCAGCUCUGCAUGACGUCAACAAGAGGCCGUCAAGACUGCACACAAAAAGCAGGAUGUGAGGAGUGGUUGCUGCAAGUCACCCUCCUUCAGAAGAUUGCCUUGAACACAGAUGAGCAUGCAGUAGGAAAAUAGCCAACUGAGGCCAGAAUUUCUAAAACAAAGACAUCUGUUACGUUUUGCCAUACAGCACAUUUGACAAGAGAUGAAACCCACCAGCAAUGAAGAGGAUGGGACUUGUUUCUCUCUGGGACUUUGUCCAAGCGCUCACAGGAAGGAAAAACAUUUGAACAACAUUGUGAUGAUUGUUCAGUGUAUUCACAGAGUGGACUGUCAAGUGUGUGUGGACACCAGUGCAAACAUCUCAAACUUGUCCAACUCCUCAGGCUGCUCCACAGUUUGGUUUCAGCAUCUUCUGAUGUGGUCAUUCAGCUGAAUUAAAAUAAGUUGCACUUGAGCCGACUGACAGUUUCCUCAUUGCUGAUGACCAUCACAAUCAACACGAGCGCGUCGACCAAUGUGUCGUGACCUCCCUGAAGAAGCCAAAAAGACAUUGCAGGUGCAGGAUCUUGGGGGCCAAGGUGGUUCUCUGCCACAAUGGAACUUGUCCUGGAAGCCACCCUGCAUGCAGACCUCGUACACGAUCUUGUUACUCACGCAGCGCUGGAUGAAGUCAAAAGGAUGUCAGUCUUUGACGCAGAUCAAGUCAGACCUUGAAGCAGGAAAUCUGCUUCACUCGUCGGUUCAAGCCGGGUUCAGGUUCUCCAGGGCCAAGAUGCUUUUGCACCUCCUAGUGGACAUGAGCGAAGAGUAGUGAAGAGUGUUCAAACCCAGCAUCUCAGUCCUCAGGCAGCGGCGCUUCAAGUGGAGGUUGUCAUAACUGCACACAGAAGCAGGAUGUAAGGAAUGUUUGCUGCAAAGGCACAAUCUUUUACCAUCACCAUUGGAGAUUAAUGCAUUUUGGGUGUUGUGACAUGUUCCCACCUUAAUGAUGUCAUCACAGGAAUAAAUCUGUUAGCUUUUGCCACAUGGUAGCUCAUCAUUUGCUGAAACAAAUUGAUAUAUUUUUUCAUGUGUACGAGUGUGCGUGUCUCACCAGUGAUGCGAGCAGGGCUCUCUAAACAAGAACGAAAGACACAGUAACAUAAUUAGCAACGUGACAUUUGACGUCAUGCUGUGAAAGAUACAGAAA